UACGGGGGGGGCAAGCGUUGUUCGGAAUUACUGGGCGUAAAGGGGACGUAGGCGGCCAACUAAGUCCGACGUGAAAUCCCAAGGCUUAACCUUGGAACUGCGUCGGAUACUGGAUGGCUUGAAUUCGGGAGAGGGAUGCAGAAUUCCAGGUGUAGCGGUGAAAUGCGUAGAUAUCUGGAGGAAUACCGGUGGCGAAGGCGGCAUCCUGGACCAUUACUGACGCUGAGGCGCGAAAGCUAGGGGAGCAAACGGG
rnacentral:rRNA from 1 species